CUCAACAAACUUAUGAUGGGGUGCGCGCUUUUUUAUUGUACAAGAUAACGGAUUUGUAGACAUU
rnacentral:sRNA from 1 species